rnacentral:piRNA from 1 species
UGACCUACAACUAACUAUUUGAACUGGC